GACGAACGCUGGCGGCGUGCCUAAUACAUGCAAGUAGAACGCUGAAGGAGGAGCUUGCUUCUCUGGAUGAGUUGCGAACGGGUGAGUAACGCGUAGGUAACCUGCCUGGUAGCGGGGGAUAACUAUUGGAAACGAUAGCUAAUACCGCAUAAUAGUAGAUGUCGCAUGACAUUUGCUUAAAAGGUGCAAUUGCAUCACUACCAGAUGGACCUGCGUUGUAUUAGCUAGUUGGUGAGGUAACGGCUCACCAAGGCAACGAUACAUAGCCGACCUGAGAGGGUGAUCGGCCACACUGGGACUGAGACACGGCCCAGACUCCUACGGGAGGCAGCAGUAGGGAAUCUUCGGCAAUGGACGGAAGUCUGACCGAGCAACGCCGCGUGAGGGAAGAAGGUUUUCGGAUCGUAAAGCUCUGUUGUAAGAGAAGAACGAGUGUGAGAGUGGAAAGUUCACACUGUGACGGUAUCUUACCAGAAAGGGACGGCUAACUACGUG
rnacentral:rRNA from 1 species